GCCAGUAGUCAUAUGCUUGUCUUAAAGAUUAAGCCAUGCAUGUCUAAGUAUAAGCACUUGUACUGUGAAACUGCGAAUGGCUCAUUAUAUCAGUUAUAAUUUAUUUGAUGGUCAUUUACUUGGAUAACCGUGGUAAAUCUAGAGCUAAUACAUGCAUAAAAUCCUGACUGGGAACGGAAAGGAUGUAUUUAUUAGAUACAAAAACCAAUGCACUAAGUUCUCUCGGGAGCUUGGUGGAAAACAUGGUGAUUCAUGAUAACUUUACGAAUCGUAUGGUCUUGUACCGACGAUAGUUCAUUCAAAUUUCUGCCCUAUCAACUUUCGAUGGUAGUAUAGAGGACUACCAUGGUGGUAACGGGUAACGGAGAAUCAGGGUUUGAUUCCGGAGAAGGAGCCUGAGAAACGGCUACUACUUCCAAGGAA
rnacentral:rRNA from 1 species